rfam:Deltaproteobacteria bacterium RIFCSPLOWO2_02_FTLL_55_12 rifcsplowo2_02_scaffold_411, whole genome shotgun sequence.
GCGGGAGUAGCUCAGUUGGUAGAGCGCAACCUUGCCAAGGUUGAGGUCGCGGGUUCGAGACCCGUCUCCCGCU